rnacentral:rRNA from 1 species
UACAGAGGUCUCAAGCGUUGUUCGGAUUCAUUGGGCGUAAAGGGUGCGUAGGCGGCGCGGUAAGUCGGGUGUGAAAUCUCGGAGCUUAACUCCGAAACUGCAUUCGAUACUGCCGUGCUUGAGGACUGGAGAGGAGACUGGAAUUCCCGGUGUAGCGGUGAAAUGCGUAGAGAUCGGGAGGAAUACCAGUGGCGAAGGCGGCCUUCUGGACUGACACUGACGCUGAGGCGCGAAAGCCAGGGGAGCAAACGGG